rnacentral:rRNA from 1 species
UAAAGGGGCGGGAAAAAAGAGUAUAAAUUGGGCGGGGACAGGAAAAACCUUGCUGCUUAACUGACUAGUGGCGGACGGGUGAGUAAUGUCUGGGAAACUGCCUGAUGGAGGGGGAUAACUACUGGAAACGGUAGCUAAUACCGCAUAACGUCGCAAGACCAAAGAGGGGGACCUUCGGGCCUCUUGCCAUCGGAUGUGCCCAGAUGGGAUUAGCUUGUAGGUGGGGUAACGGCUCACCUAGGCGACGAUCCCUAGCUGGUCUGAGAGGAUGACCAGCCACACUGGAACUGAGACACGGUCCAGACUCCUACGGGAGGCAGCAGUGGGGAAUAUUGCACAAUGGGCGCAAGCCUGAUGCAGCCAUGCCGCGUGUAUGAAGAAGGCCUUCGGGUUGUAAAGUACUUUCAGCGGGGAGGAAGGGAGUAAAGUUAAUACCUUUGCUCAUUGACGUUACCCGCAGAAGAAGCACCGGCUAACUCCGUGCCAGCAGCCGCGGUAAUACGGAGGGUGCAAGCGUUAAUCGGAAUUACUGGGCGUAAAGCGCACGCAGGCGGUUUGUUAAGUCAGAUGUGAAAUCCCCGGGCUCAACCUGGGAACUGCAUCUGAUACUGGCAAGCUUGAGUCUCGUAGAGGGGGGUAGAAUUCCAGGUGUAGCGGUGAAAUGCGUAGAGAUCUGGAGGAAUACCGGUGGCGAAGGCGGCCCCCUGGACGAAGACUGACGCUCACGUGCGAAAGCGUGUGGAGCAAACAGGAUUAGAUACCCUGGUAGUCCACGCCGUAAACGAUGUCGACUUGGAGGUUGUGCCCUUGAUGCGUGGCUCCCUGAGCUAACACGUUAGUCGACCGCCUGGAGAGUACUGCCGCGAGGUUAAAAGUCAAAUGAAUUGACGGGGGCCCGCACAGCGGUGGAGCAUGUGGGUCAAUACAAUGCAAUGAGAGAAGCCUACCUGGUCUUGACAUCCACGGAGGUUUCAGAGACAAGAGGUGCCUCCGCGAGCGAGAAGAAAAGAGCACAUGGCUGUCGUCCGCUCCUGCUCUCAAAUGUGAA